rnacentral:lncRNA from 1 species
UCGGUGGGAAAGAAAAGCACCUUCUGCGAUUUGAUUCUGGUAAGAAAUGGAUCAAUUAUUUGAUUUGCAUCACGGCGGAUCGUCGCAGUUGACAGGAAAAGGGUGAUGAUGAUGCUGGUGAAGAGCAAGCAGACGAGAAAAUUGGAUCCCGUGGUAGAGUCGCCGAGAGUGCUGCUGCGCCGAACUCGCAUACCUCGUCUGAUUUCUCUGUCUACGGAAGAAGAACAGUGAUUCAGCCUCUUUUGCAGCGCAAUUCAGCCAGAUCUGCCACUACACUCUUGAUUCGAUUUUCAGCGGCUUCUACUGUCUUGCAGAUCUGCCUUCUGAUAUUUUGAUGUCUCGUUGAACGAUCGGAACAGAUAUGGACGAUCUUUUUCCAGCCGGCUGCAAAAUCUUCGGCGGCUCUGGCGUGGAGGCUGGGAAGCUCACCGACGCCGACGGCAUCAUCUCCACUCGAGCGGCGCGCCGGCGGUGCCUGACUUCCCUGUCCCGCGCGUCGUCGAGGUCGAUCUGCUCCUGGCGGGAGUCAUCGCUGCAGAAUGGCAUAUCCCCCCCGGUACAUGAAGACUUCGGAGGAACCUCUGAGGGGCCUCUUGCACAGUAAAAACGCAUCCGGCGAUCGGCGAGGCCGCUCUUCCUCCCGCGGCGCCACCGACGAGAAGAUCACGCCGCCGUGGGGCCAGGGCCCCGAGCGCCCCUAGGCUCUCCCUCCUCUUGGCAGAAGAGGAACAGGUAGCAAUGCUCGUGUCGCCCAUCGUUCCUCCUCUCUGAUCUCCUCACCCCUCUCUUCCCUCCCUCUCUCUGUCCGCCCGCACUACCUUCGUCGCCACCUCGCCGGAGGGCGGGAACACAGUUGGUGGAUGCUUUCAAAGACAAACCUCUCACAGUAGAGAGAGAGAGAGAGAGAGAGAGCGGUUUUGGGCGGCGAAGUAAUUUUAACCCGAAGAAAUGCCAUGAUGGCGAUUCAUCCACGC